UACGGGGGGGGCAAGCGUUGUUCGGAAUUACUGGGCGUAAAGGGUGCGUAGGCGGCUCUCUAAGUCGGAUGUGAAAACUCUGGGCUCAACCCAGAGCCUGCAUCCGAAACUGGAGGGCUUGGGUUCUGGAGGGGAAAGCGGAAUUCCUGGUGUAGCGGUGAAAUGCGUAGAUAUCAGGAGGAACACCGGUGGCGAAGGCGGCUUUCUGGACAGAUACCGACGCUGAGGCACGAAAGCUAGGGGAGCAAACAGG
rnacentral:rRNA from 1 species